ACUCUGGACGGGGGAUCGCUCGGCUCGUCCGUCGAUGAAGAGCGCGGCCAGCCGCGAGAACUUAUGCGAAUUGCAGAACUCAGUGAACAUCAACACCUCAAACGCAAAUUGGGGCCUCAAGAU
rnacentral:rRNA from 1 species